rnacentral:rRNA from 1 species
AAAUUGAAGAGUUUGAUCAUGGCUCAGAUUGAACGCUGGCGGCAGGCCUAACACAUGCAAGUCGAACGGUAACAGGAAGCAGCUUGCUGCUUUGCUGACGAGUGGCGGACGGGUGAGUAAUGUCUGGGAAACUGCCUGAUGGAGGGGGAUAACUACUGGAAACGGUGGCUAAUACCGCAUAACGUCGCAAGACCAAAGAGGGGGACCUUCGGGCCUCUUGCCAUCAGAUGUGCCCAGAUGGGAUUAGCUUGUUGGUGAGGUAACGGCUCACCAAGGCGACGAUCCCUAGCUGGUCUGAGAGGAUGACCAGCCACACUGGAACUGAGACACGGUCCAGACUCCUACGGGAGGCAGCAGUGGGGAAUAUUGCACAAUGGGCGCAAGCCUGAUGCAGCCAUGCCGCGUGUAUGAAGAAGGCCUUCGGGUUGUAAAGUACUUUCAGCGGGGAGGAAGGUGUUGUGGUUAAUAACCACAGCAAUUGACGUUACCCGCAGAAGAAGCACCGGCUAACUCCGUGCCAGCAGCCGCGGUAAUACGGAGGGUGCAAGCGUUAAUCGGAAUUACUGGGCGUAAAGCGCACGCAGGCGGUCUGUCAAGUCGGAUGUGAAAUCCCCGGGCUCAACCUGGGAACUGCAUUCGAAACUGGCAGGCUUGAGUCUUGUAGAGGGGGGUAGAAUUCCAGGUGUAGCGGUGAAAUGCGUAGAGAUCUGGAGGAAUACCGGUGGCGAAGGCGGCCCCCUGGACAAAGACUGACGCUCAGGUGCGAAAGCGUGGGGAGCAAACAGGAUUAGAUACCCUGGUAGUCCACGCCGUAAACGAUGUCUACUUGGAGGUUGUGCCCUUGAGGCGUGGCUUCCGGAGCUAACGCGUUAAGUAGACCGCCUGGGGAGUACGGCCGCAAGGUUAAAACUCAAAUGAAUUGACGGGGGCCCGCACAAGCGGUGGAGCAUGUGGUUUAAUUCGAUGCAACGCGAAGAACCUUACCUGGUCUUGACAUCCACAGA